CUGCAUGUGUGUGUAAAUAAUAUUUUUUCACGAUGGUGCAUCAUUUUAAUAAAUUUGUUCAUUAAAUUUUCUUUUCUUCCAGAUCUGAAAAUCUUUUUGAAAUUAUGUACUUGUACAAUUUUUGUAUUAUUUAUUUUUCAAGAGGAGAAAAAGUAAUUUACCCGGUAUUAGACUUUUUGAUUCUAGCAGCAAUUAAAUAAAACUUGUUAUUUAACGGCAAAUAUUAAAAGGAUACACAUGAUGCUGAUUUUUUAUUCUACAUUUUGUAAACAUUUUUAUUGUUUUAUCUUUAUUUUUAUCCCUGUUCAAGCAUGCUCUUCCGGUAUUAUUUUCAAACAAAAAGAUAUUCAUUAAAUUUUCUGAUUUUAUUUCUCAGGUUUGAUGUUUUCUUUAAAUGAAAACAAGGAAAGACAAAUCUUUAUAUGUGAAAAAAGGAAACAAAUUUAUUACUUUUGUAAAUGUUUUCCCACAUGUCUUUGUGAUGUGUAAUUUCUCAUCAACUUUCUGUAUGUUGUGACAUUAGUUAGUGCAAAUCAAAGUGUACAAAAACAAUAGUUUGUAAUAAAACCCUAAGUUC
rnacentral:misc_RNA from 1 species